rfam:Ixodes scapularis strain Wikel colony gcontig_1108379326424, whole genome shotgun sequence.
UAAAAGGCCCUUCUCAGGGCCCCCAUAUUUUGCAAACGGAGCCGUGU